UUCAGUCUCCAUGCCACCCUGAACGGGCCCGAUCUCGUCUGAUCUCCGAAACUAAGCAGGGUCGGGCCUGGUCAAUACUUGGAUGGGAGACCGCCUGGGAAUACCAGGUGCUGUAA
ensembl:rRNA 5S_rRNA 5S ribosomal RNA